rnacentral:rRNA from 1 species
CCUACGGGAGGCAGCAGUGAGGAAUAUUGGUCAAUGGGCGCGAGUCUGAACCAGCCAAGUAGCGUGAAGGAUGACUGCCCUACGGGUUGUAAACUUCUUUUAUAAAGGAAUAAAGUGAGGCACGUGUGCCUUUUUGUAUGUAUCUUAUGAAUAAGGAUCGGCUAACUCCGUGCCAGCAGCCGCGGUAAUACGGAGGAUCCGAGCGUUAUCCGGAUGUAUUGGGUUUAAAGGGAGCGUAGAUGGGUUGUUAAGUCAGUUGUGAAAGUUUGCGGCUCAACCGCAAAAUUGCAAUUGAUACUGGCAGUCUUGAGUACAGUUGAGGUAGGCGGAAUUCAUGGUGUAGCGGUGAAAUGCUUAGAGAUCACGAAGAACUCCGAUUGCGAAGGCAGCUUACUAAACUGCCACUGACGUUGAUGCUCGAAAGUGUGGGUAUCAAACAGGAUUAGAUACCCCUGUAGUC